UGGGGAAUUUUGGACAAUGGGCGCAAGCCUGAUCCAGCCAUGCCGCGUGCGGGAAGAAGGCCUUCGGGUUGUAAACCGCUUUCGGCCGGAACGAAAUCGGGCGGGUGAAUAGUCCGCCUGGAUGACGGUACCGGAGGAAGAAGCACCGGCUAACUACGUGCCAGCAGCCGCGGUAAUACGUAGGGUGCGAGCGUUAAUCGGAAUUACUGGGCGUAAAGCGUGCGCAGGCGGCUCGCUAAGCCAGAGGUGAAAUCCCCGGGCUCAACCUGGGAACGGCCUUUGGGACUGGUGGGCUGGAGUGCGGCAGAGGGGGGUGGAAUUCCUGGUGUAGCAGUGAAAUGCGUAGAGAUCAGGAGGAACACCGAUGGCGAAGGCAGCCCCCUGGGCCAGCACUGACGCU
rnacentral:rRNA from 1 species